UACGAAGGGGGCUAGCGUUGCUCGGAAUCACUGGGCGUAAAGCGCGUGUAGGCAGCUCGGAAAGUCGGGUGUGAAAGCCCUGGGCUCAACCUAGGAAGUGCACUCGAAACUUCCGAGCUGGAGUGCUGGAGAGGAAGGCGGAAUUCUCGGUGUAGAGGUGAAAUUCGUAGAUAUCGAGAGGAACACCGGUGGCGAAGGCGGCCUUCUGGACAGUUACUGACGCUGAGACGCGAAAGCGUGGGGAGCAAACAGG
rnacentral:rRNA from 1 species